rnacentral:misc_RNA from 1 species
UAUGAAGAACGUAGCGAAAUGCGAUAAGUAGUGUGAAUUGCAGAAUUCAGUGAAUCAUCGAAUCUUUGAACGCACAUUGCGCCCCUUGGUAUUCCAUGGGGCAUGCCUGUUCGAGCGUCAUUUGUACCUUCAAGCUCUGCUUGGUGUUGGGUGUUUGUCUCGCCUCUGCGUGUAGACUCGCCUCAAAACAAUUGGCAGCCGGCGUAUUGAUUUCGGAGCGCAGUACAUCUCGCGCUUUGCACUCAUAACGACGACGUCCAAAAGUACAUUUUUACACUCUUGACCUCGGAUCAGGUAGGGAUACCCGCUGAACUUAAGCAUAUCAAUAAGCAGAGGA